GGUCACACCCGUUCCCAUCCCGAACACGGAAGUUAAGCCUCUCUGGGCCAAUGGUCCUGCACGGGCAGCUGUGUGGGAGAGUAGGUCGCCGCCGGGA
rnacentral:rRNA from 1 species